rnacentral:rRNA from 2 species
CAGCAGUGGGGAAUAUUGCACAAUGGGGGAAACCCUGAUGCAGCGACGCCGCGUGGAGGAAGAAGGUCUUCGGAUUGUAAACUCCUGUUGUUGAGGAAGAUAAUGACGGUACUCAACAAGGAAGUGACGGCUAACUACGUGCCAGCAGCCGCGGUAAAACGUAGGUCACAAGCGUUGUCCGGAAUUACUGGGUGUAAAGGGAGCGCAGGCGGGAAGACAAGUUGGAAGUGAAAUCCAUGGGCUCAACCCAUGAACUGCUUUCAAAACUGUUUUUCUUGAGUAGUGCAGAGGUAGGCGGAAUUCCCGGUGUAGCGGUGGAAUGCGUAGAUAUCGGGAGGAACACCAGUGGCGAAGGCGGCCUACUGGGCACCAACUGACGCUGAGGCUCGAAAGUGUGGGUAGCAAACAGGAUUAGAUACCCUGGUAGUCCACACUGUAAACGAUGAUUACUAGGUGUUGGAGGAUUGACCCCUUCAGUGCCGCAGUUAACACAAUAAGUAAUCCACCUGGGGAGUACGACCGCAAGGUUGAAACUCAAAGGAAUUGACGGGGGCCCGCACAAGCAGUGGAGUAUGUGGUUUAAUUCGACGCAACGCGAAGAACCUUACCAAGUCUUGACAUCCUGCGACGCACAUAGAAAUAUGUGUUUCCUUCGGGACGCAGAGACAGGUGGUGCAUGGUUGUCGUCAGCUCGUGUCGUGAGAUGUUGGGUUAAGUCCCGCAACGAGCGCAACCCUUAUGGUCAGUUACUACGCAAGAGGACUCUGGCCAGACUGCCGUUGACAAAACGGAGGAAGGUGGGGAUGACGUCAAAUCAUCAUGCCCUUUAUGACUUGGGCUACACACGUACUACAAUGGCGUUAAACAAAGAGAAGCAAGACCGCGAGGUGGAGCAAAACUCAGAAACAACGUCCCAGUUCGGACUGCAGGCUGCAACUCGCCUGCACGAAGUCGGAAUUGCUAGUAAUCGCAGAUCAGCAUGCUGCGGUGAAUACGUUCCCGGGCCUUGUACACACCGCCCGUCACACCAUGAGAGCCGGGGGGACCCGAAGUCGGUAGUCUAACCGCAAGGAGGACGCCGCCGAAGGUAAAACUGGUGAUUGGGGUGAAGUCGUAACAAGGUAGCCGUAGGAGAACCUGCGGCUG